AAAAUUUUGUUUAAUUUAUUUCCAAUAUAACUCUAAAUUAAUAUUUUGUUUUUUGUUUAAAAUAAACCUCUACUCACUUUUAUUUUUCCUCUCACAAUCGUUUCAUAACCUCCAAAUCGAAUAUCCAGCUUGAGCAACAACUGAGUAAUCAAACAGAUUCCGCGGAUUUCUUAGACUUUCAUAGUCUCUAUGUAAACAUUUAAACGUGAAGCUAUGCGAGUGUCUUCAUCGCACACACAAACCCAUACCGAAAGACACGAUUGGUAUCGUGUAUGUGAGAUUCAUUAUUUAAGGUGCCGCCCGAAUCGAAGGCUGGAAGUGGAAAUGGCAGUGGUAGUGAUAUGCAAAAGCAAUAAAAUUGUGAAAAUGCUUUAAUAUCGAUUAAUUUCCAUUGAAUACUAGUAGUGGCGAAAUCAAAAGCGGCUGAAGCUUUCAGCUCCGGAUGACCAUACCCAAUGUGUGCUGGAAUUGCUUGAGCAAGACGGUGAUCUUAAUUCACAACGCGCGUAGGCACGACAUCGUUAUGUUACGCAGCACAGGGUGGCUAUUUAAAUGCGAUGAAAAUACUGAUAAAAGCCGGUGCUAUUAGGGAUAUGUAAUUGGUGGAUCGCGCCAUAACCGUUUCACCGCCGCACGAAACGGCUAUCGCUAAGUGCUAUCCUUGCUCAUCCCGGCGGUCGCCAAUUCCGAUAUGUAGCGAAUAGAGGGUGCUACACCACCUUGAAUCGACGCACAAACGGUACACGAUCACAUACAUACGGUGUUGUUGAAAAACAGCGCCUUUGUAAACGCAGUACGCUGUGACGAUGCAACGCCACUCUUUAAAGCGGCUCAUAAGGGAUACGCGGCGCUUGUAGGUGAACUCUUGAAAUACCGACCUAAUUACUGGUGGAAGAACUAAAUCGGUAAAAUAUAUGCAAUUUAUAAAUAAGUAUUCCAAAAAUCAUGUUUUAAAAGUUUUUUCGAAAUAUUAAUAUUGAAAUUCGUAUUCUAACAUACACAUAUGGUAUACAUACUAACUUAUGCUCUAAUCUUUGUUACUAAAACUGUAAUAUUUUAAAAAUUGUAUUAAAUGCGCAUAUUAAAGAGUACACGGAGCUCUGAUUGGGUUAGUGAAAUAAAAAAUUUUGAAUAUCUG